UCUGUGUAUAAUACCAUUCUCCCCAGGUCCCUCUCUCUGUGUAUAAUACCAUUCUCCCCAGGUCCCUCUCUCUGUGUAUAAUACCAUUCUCCCCAGGUCCCUCUCUGUGUAUAAUACCAUUCUCCCCAGGUCCCUCUCUCUGUGUAUAAUACCAUUCUCCCCAGGUCCCUCUCUGUGUAUAAUACCAUUCUCCCCAGGUCCCUCUCUGUGUAUAAUACCAUUCUCCCCAGGUCCCUCUCUCUGUGUAUAAUACCAUUCUCCCCAGGUCCCUCUCUGUGUAUAAUACCAUUCUCCCCAGGUCCCUCUCUCUGUGUAUAAUACCAUUCUCCCCAGGUCCCUCUCUGUGUAUAAUACCAUUCUCCCCAGGUCCCUCUCUCUGUGUAUAAUACCAUUCUCCCCAGGUCCCUCUCUCUGUGUAUAAUACCAUUCUCCCCAGGUCCCUCUCUCUGUGUAUAAUACCAUUCUCCCCAGGUCCCUCUCUCUGUGUAUAAUACCAUUCUCCCCAGGUCCCUCUCUCUGUGUAUAAUACCAUUCUCCCCAGGUCCCUCUCUCUGUGUAUAAUACCAUUCUCCCCAGGUCCCUCUCUGUGUAUAAUACCAUUCUCCCCAGGUCCCUCUCUGUGUAUAAUACCAUUCUCCCCAGGUCCCUCUCUCUGUGUAUAAUACCAUUCUCCCCAGGUCCCUCUCUCUGUGUAUAAUACCAUUCUCCCCAGGUCCCUCUCUCUGUGUAUAAUACCAUUCUCCCCAGGUCCCUCUCUCUGUGUAUAAUACCAUUCUCCCCAGGUCCCUCUCUCUGUGUAUAAUACCAUUCUCCCCAGGUCCCUCUCUCUGUGUAUAAUACCA